CCCUGAUGUUAGCGGCGGACGGGUGAGUAACACGUGGGUAACCUGCCUGUAAGACUGGGAUAACUCCGGGAAACCGGGGCUAAUACCGGAUGGUUGUUUGAACCGCAUGGUUCAAACAUAAAAGGUGGCUUCGGCUACCACUUACAGAUGGACCCGCGGCGCAUUAGCUAGUUGGUGAGGUAACGGCUCACCAAGGCAACGAUGCGUAGCCGACCUGAGAGGGUGAUCGGCCACACUGGGACUGAGACACGGCCCAGACUCCUACGGGAGGCAGCAGUAGGGAAUCUUCCGCAAUGGACGAAAGUCUGACGGAGCAACGCCGCGUGAGUGAUGAAGGUUUUCGGAUCGUAAAGCUCUGUUGUUAGGGAAGAACAAGUACCGUUCGAAUAGGGCGGUACCUUGACGGUACCUAACCAGAAAGCCACGGCUAACUACGUGCCAGCAGCCGCGGUAAUACGUAGGUGGCAAGCGUUGUCCGGAAUUAUUGGGCGUAAAGGGCUCGCAGGCGGUUUCUUAAGUCUGAUGUGAAAGCCCCCGGCUCAACCGGGGAGGGUCAUUGGAAACUGGGGAACUUGAGUGCAGAAGAGGAGAGUGGAAUUCCACGUGUAGCGGUGAAAUGCGUAGAGAUGUGGAGGAACACCAGUGGCGAAGGCGACUCUCUGGUCUGUAACU
rnacentral:rRNA from 1 species